rnacentral:lncRNA from 1 species
CAGCUGCCCCGGCCCGUGUCACCAGCCUGCGGGUGACAGAUAUACGGAGAGACUCAGUGACGAUCACCUGGACCCCUAUCCCUGGCGCCUCCGGCUACAUCCUCUCCUGGAGUCCCCCUGCAGCCGGUGGGGAGACGAGGCGGACGCUGCCUGGUGCUGCCAGCUCCCAGCAAGUCUCCGGGCUGCGCCUGGGCCAGCGCUACACCUUCACCCUCCGCCCGCUCCUGGGGAGCGCACCGGGUGCUGAGACCUCCGUCAGCGAGCGCACAGGUACGGUGGGGUGGCUAGGGGGGCAGGCUGGGCUGGUCUCCGCUCUGGUGGUGGAUUCACCCCUUCCCUGCCCACAGUCUGCAGGGAUGCCCGCGGUGACAUCGUCUUCCUGGUGCAUGGCACACGCGACAGCUCCUCCGGUGCUGAUGCCAUCCGCACCCUCCUCUCCAACACCGUGUCCGCCUUGGGGCGCCUGGGCCCUGAGGGCACCCAGGUAGGAGGCUGCUGUGGUGGUGGGAGACCCGUGGGGGGCCACGGGUGGGCAGCGGUGCCCACUGCUCCCCUGUACCUUUGCAGGUGGCUCUGGCCACGUACAGCUACCGCAGCCUGCCCUGGCUGCUCCUCAACCGCUCCAGCGACCUGCCCACUGUGCUGGAGCAGAUCCGCACCAUACGCUACGAGGAACCCAGUGGCAACGCCAUCGGUGAGGGGCGGCACUGGGAGCCGGGGUAGUGGCUGGUGGGAUCCUGCUGACCAUCUGCCUCCUCCUUCUUCCUCCCUAGGGGCAGCCAUCACCUUUGCCAGGACCUACUUAUUGAGCCCUGGAGCGGGGCGCCGACCCGGCGUGCCGGCGGUGCUGGUGGUCCUGGCUGAUGGACCCUCAGGGGAUGAUGCCAUCACUGCAGCCAGGGACAUCAAGGCUGGGGGUGAGGAUGGAUGGGGUCCCAGCAGGGUGUGCGGGGAGUUCUGCUGGGUACUGAGGGUGCUCUUGGCUCAGGGGUCCAGGUGCUGGCCGUGAGCUUGGAGGGGGCAGACCGGGAGCAGCUCCGGCGCGUGGUCACCAGUGAGGAUCCGCGGUACAUCUAUCAGGAUGGUGGUGCCCUGGCAGAGCUGGAGGGAGAGCUCACCGAUGACCUCUGCACCAUCAUCUCCAUCAGGCCGGAGCCAGAGCCAAAGCCGAAGCCCUGCACUGUGCAAUGCCCCAGGGGCGAGAAGGGAGAUCGCGGCGAGGCAGUGAGUGCUUUGGCAUCCCACCCCUGGCUGGUGGCUCUGGGGAGGGGGCUGCAUACCCCAAAGCAUGCUGAUGCCAGCCCACAGGGGGUGCUCACCACUGACUUUGUCUCCACAGGGACCACAAGGACGCAUGGGGCCACCAGGUCCCCCUGGCGAGCCGGUAAUAUCCUGAUGGGGGGAGGGAGAUGGGGGGCAGCUCCCUGGCAGGGGGCAUGGACAUGGUCCCCGCAUCCCCUUGUCCUGCUGACAGGUGGGUGUGGGCCAGGGACCUGUCCAGCCCUUGACACAGGGGUAGACAGAGAACAUCCCUUGGCCACCACUUGCCACCCAGCCUCUCCUCUCCGCUGUCACCCCAGGGCCGCCAUGGACCGCCUGGCCCUCCAGGACCCCCAGGGCCACAGGGUCUGCCAGGAGAGAGCGCCGAGCGGCCAGGCAAGAAGGGGGACAGGGUGA